ensembl:lncRNA
GGGUAUUCUUGACACCGACGGAAGUGUGCUGGAUGCCCCUUGGACCAAACAGCAUCCACCACAGCAGUAGGUUCCUCAUAGUAGCCAUCGAUGAAAACUGUUAUCAUCUGGAAAGACAACCUCCGGGCUGAGGGUGGAGAACACAGCAUCCUGCACAGGUAGCUGGGCCGGUUCCCUGCAACGACAGCCACAGGCGCAUUGAGGACCUUGUUGUCUGGGGGUGGGUCAGGGCUGAACUUGGAAGGCUUGGGGUCCUUGCAGCUGUACCCGUUCUCGUCGCCCUUGAUUUUGCUGCAGAAGCAGCGGCUGUGACGGUUCCGCUCCGUGUCUGCCCAGUGGCACAUCUUCAUCUCUGCCUCUUCAGCUGAGCUUAGUGGCACAGCUGUCUUCAGCAGAACUGAACCCCCACAGGAGGAGAGGGCAGGUGAGUCAGAAUGUUUCUCCCCAAGGAUAGGACCUCCUUUUCAUCCCACAAAGGCCCAGGUGUCUCUCCAGCCCAGGACAGGGCCAGCCUGGCUGUCGCGCCUCCUCAGCAGAGCCUUGGCUGUGUCCUUGAGAUGGAAGGAGCCCUUGUCCUUAAUGAUGCAGAUGAACCCCCGGCCAGGUGCCGCCAUGUUGAGGAACAGCAACCAUGGCCUCACCUAUAUGAGGAGCGAGCAUGCCUGCUAAGUCGCUUCACUCGUGUCCUACUCUUUGUGACCCCAUGGACUGUAGCCCGCCAGGCUCCUCUGUCUAUGGGAUUCUCCAGGCAGAUUCUUCACUGUCUGAGCCACCAGGGAAGCCCAGGCUGUAGGACUCCAGCUCUAACUGUGAAACAGACACAGUUCUGUGCCCUGGCAUGUGGCAAGGACUCUGAGGUCACAACCUGGUUUCAUGAUGAGGAGAUAAUGACUGCAAGUGAUGAAUGGUAAGGGCUUUAUGUUCUGUCUGCAAAUCAUGAUGGGAAUCUCACGGUACAAGAUAUAAAACAACUUGUUCUCAAAUAUUGCUUUGCCAUCUCCACUGCUCAUUAACUUAAUUUUGUGGGAGUUUCUGGAUAAAGACAAACACUUUUAUGACCGAAUCACAAAUGUUAUUAUACAAGCCUUUGGAAAAUGCAAUUCUAUUGUUAUAUUUGAAAAUAGUCAUUGCUUUUCUUUGUUUUCCAGAGAUAACUAUGUUUUCCAAGGACAGCAAAGGAAAAAUGCAAAAAGAUAUCUCCUGGUAUUCUCAUCGUGGGAACUUCCCUUCAGCUAUUAAUACAAAAUGUCAGUGUAGUAGGCUAGGUGAUGGCCCUGGAGAUAUCAGGUCAAACACCCGGAACCUGUAAAUGCUGCUUUAUCUGGAUAAAGGGACUUUGCAGAUGUGUGUGUUUUUUUUUCUUCCAGAUUUCUUUUCAG